CCUACGGGAGGCAGCAGUGGGGAAUAUUGGACAAUGGGCGCAAGCCUGAUCCAGCAAUACCGCGUGUGUGAAGAAGGCCUGAGGGUUGUAAAGCACUUUCAAUGGGGAGGAAAACCUACCGGCCAAUACCCGGUGGCUUGACAUUACCCAUACAAGAAGCACCGGCUAACUCCGUGCCAGCAGCCGCGGUAAUACGGAGGGUGCGAGCGUUAAUCGGAAUUACUGGGCGUAAAGCGUGCGUAGGCGGCCCGCCAAGCCAGAUGUGAAAGCCCCGGGCUCAACCUGGGAACUGCAUUUGGAACUGACGGGCUAGAGUUGGGUAGAGGGGGGCGGAAUUUCAGGUGUAGCGGUGAAAUGCGUAGAGAUCUGAAGGAACACCAGUGGCGAAGGCGGCCCCCUGGACCCAAACUGACGCUGAGGCACGAAAGCGUGGGUAGCAAACAGGAUUAGAUACCCUGGUAGUCCACGCCGUAAACGAUGCCGACUAGCCGUUGGCCCUAUAUACAGGGUUUAUGGCGCNGCUACGCAUAAGUCGGUCCGCCGUGGGAGGUACGGCCGCGAAGGUUAAACGUAACGAAGGAAGUAGACGGCGUGAGACGUGCCGAACGGACGACGACGAGGGAGGUAGG
rnacentral:rRNA from 1 species